rnacentral:tRNA from 1 species
GCGGCAGUGGUGUAAUGGUAGCCACGCCAGUCUUAGGAACUGGUGCCGAGAGGCGUGGGGGUUCGAGUCCCCCCUGCCGCA